UGUUCCCGACAGCCAGCCCAACUCUCACGUCUAUCCUAGAGACGCCCACGCCGCCGGCGAACUCCGGUCUCGUCGCUGGCCACCGCAAGACGGAUUGAUGUUGAAUCUGAGCUUCUCUUCUCAAUUCUAUUCAUCUGAUCGAGCCCCUUCUGGCCGUGAUACCAAAAUCUGACAUCCUGUUGUGCGGAUGGGUGCGCUGCUUAAGAGUUAAGACGCACUGCGGACGGUGCGGCGCGGAGGGUUAGCCGGCGACCUUGGGCGGCGGAGGAGUCUACGGCGCAGGUUACAUGCCGGCUUUGGUCCAUGAGAAAAGGGAGGCGAUGCAUAUAGUGAAAUUGAGGGAGGAAUAGAAAGAUGUGAGCAGUGGCGGCAUGUGGCAGCAAGAUGUUACCUUGCUAAUUGUUGGUGUUAACAGACAUCUACCACUAUUUGCUGUCCAAUGAGUGUACCCAGCGAGUUGUCGCCUUCCUAAUUGUCGGUGCUGUCAGACUUGUACCACUGUAAGUGCUAUUGCUUUGUGUCCUUCCCAGUGCAGAUUCUCUCUUGUACUCCUUCCUAGGAAUACCAUAAUAUUGGAUUUUUUCUCAUGGUUCUCUUGAACUGAAAGGGCUACACGAUAGACGAACUUCUACAAAGAACAUAAAAUUCGCAAAAGUGUAUGUCCGAAUGGAUUUGAAAUAAUAAUCACAGUAUGGCAUCUACUCCUUAUAUUGGUUGAUGUUAAGUAUUGUUACUCCAUCUCAGUAAUAUAAAUAGUUUCUUAGUUUCACUGGAUAAGCUUCUAAUCAUCUAUUUUUUUAGAUUACCUACUUGUUCUUCUAGGUUCUGUUUCUUCUAUUUUAUCUCGAAACUGACCGUUUGUCUUCUUGCGGUCUUACUGCUGCAGUACCUGUAUAUUUUCUUUUGGCUCAGCGGGCCUCUGAGUCUUCAUCUUCAAGCAUUGUAUUUUUUAAUUUUGCUUGAAGGUUUUCUUUUCCUCACGUACAACCCUUUCCUUUCUUACUGGCACACUUGCUUCAGUGCAUAGUCGAUAUGUGUCCCUUUCUUUUACCAUUUGAGAGAUAAUGUGAUGCUGAUAUUUGACUUCAUGCCCAUCCUCAUUUAAGACAGUCCUAUCAGUACUGGGUGGUUCUUCUUUCACAUGCACCAGUUGAUAUAACACUUUUCCAAGUGAUUUUUAUUACUGUAUUUCGUAACUGCAAAACAAAAAAUAUUGAAGAAUUAAAGUCGCUCGUAAUAAUCCAAAAACAGAUGUAUAAAAAUAUCAGUUAUCUUUUAGCCUGCAUGUUCGGUUUCUUCCUUUCAUGUUUUAACAUUUCAUAACUUCAUGAGCCAUCAAAUCCUAUGUACCAUAUAUGCAUUUGUAAGAAGAAUUAUUGAAGUAAUUAGGAACAUGGUACAUACAUUUUAAUGUACUAAAUGCAACUUUACCUCCUCAACUUUAUUGUUCAAGUAUGACAUAUCAAGCUUAUCAUCAGCAAAAAAUGUUCAUUUUAUUGCAUAGUUUUAUGUGCCGAAGGUGAGAUUACAACAUUAAGCUUGAAUCGAAAGUUAAGUCAUAAUCCACAUAGUUGUUGUAUAAUCUUGGCACUUCUUCAGAUUUUCCGUCCAAGCAGAUCAAGAAAAAAUAUUCAUAGCUGCAUGGAUGAGUGUUGUCCCGCACUGCACAAUUUCCCCAUCCAUGUCGUAGAACGGAUGUAGCCAACCUGUGAGGCAUCAGUUGAUUGUGCCCGCAACCGUAUUUGCAUCAAAACACCACCAAUACAGUACGUCCUCCAUGCCUCCGGCCUCCAGCAAGCGACACAAUAAGAAGCAGAGGAGACCCCGUGCUAGUAUCGGCCGGUUGCAGAUAUUGAUGUAUCCCAUCCCAAGCGGAGGCGUCAAACAAUGCUGGCCUCUUAGGUCACGCCGCCUCUCCUCACUUCAUUAUCUCUAACUGCUGAGUGUUGGGUCCCAAUGUAAUCAGCGCCCGCCAGCCACCAGCCAAGACGUGAGAGUUGGUAAUUGGCGAGAGAGGUGGAGGAGGAUCCGGAGAACAGGGGAUUGAUAGCGAGGUGGAAGAGGAGGCUUCAAUGGGAUUUUGCGGCUAAUCGAGGACGGCCGACGAUGCCAAAGUUGUGCAUAUCAUGAUCUGCAUGCUACGGAGGAGACCACAGGAGGAAGAUCUGAUAUGAACAUGUAACAUGACAUCAUCCUUAUAAAUUAGUUUUAUCCGUUUGGCUGGAGUCCA